rnacentral:rRNA from 1 species
AACGAACGCUGGCGGCAGGCUUAACACAUGCAAGUCGAACGGGCGUAGCAAUACGUCAGUGGCAGACGGGUGAGUAACACGUGGGAACCUUCCUAGGGGUACGGAACAACUCAGGGACACUUGAGCUAAUACCGUAUACGUCCGAGAGGAGAAAGAUUUAUCGCCCUUAGACGGGCCCGCGUCGGAUUAGGUAGUUGGUGGGGUAACGGCCUACCAAGCCGACGAUCCGUAGCUGAUCUGAGAGGAUGAUCAGCCACACUGGGACUGAGACACGGCCCAGACUCCUGCGGGAGGCAGCAGUGGGGAAUCUUGGACAAUGGGCGCAAGCCUGAUCCAGCCAUGCCGCGUGAGUGAAGAAGGCCUUAGGGUUGUAAAGCUCUUUUGGCAGGGACGAUAAUGACGGUACCUGCAGAAUAAGCCCCGGCAAACUUCGUGCCAGCCGCCGCCGUAACAC